GGUUGUGGCUCAGUAGUAGAGCGCUCGCCUGGCAUGCAUGAGGCACUGGGUUCGAUCCUCAGCACCA
rnacentral:tRNA from 1 species